GAGGAGACGCAUCCAACAGUCCUACAAGGAGUCCAAGGCAUCUGCAGUCCAGUACAUUGUGGACUCACCCU
rnacentral:lncRNA from 1 species